rnacentral:rRNA from 1 species
GAUGAACGCUGGCGGCGUGCCUAAUACAUGCAAGUCGAGCGAACAGACGAGGAGCUUGCUCCUCUGACGUUAGCGGCGGACGGGUGAGUAACACGUGGAUAACCUACCUAUAAGACUGGGAUAACUUCGGGAAACCGGAGCUAAUACCGGAUAAUAUAUUGAACCGCAUGGUUCAAUAGUGAAAGACGGUUUUGCUGUCACUUAUAGAUGGAUCCGCGCCGCAUUAGCUAGUUGGUAAGGUAACGGCUUACCAAGGCAACGAUGCGUAGCCGACCUGAGAGGGUGAUCGGCCACACUGGAACUGAGACACGGUCCCGACUCCUACGGGAGGCAGCAGUAGGGAAUCUUCCGCAAUGGGCGAAAGCCUGACGGAGCAACGCCGCGUGAGUGAUGAAGGUCUUCGGAUCGUAAAACUCUGUUAUUAGGGAAGAACAAAUGUGUAAGUAACUAUGAACGUCUUGACGGUACCUAAUCAGAAAGCCACGGCUAACUACGUG